AAACAUCAUACAAUGGAGAUAGCCCAAUAUUACAAGCGUAUUACGACGUCUCUCACGGACAUUCACGCUUAUCAUUAUAAAUUAUGUUUUCGAUGUAGUUAGUACGAUUACAGAUUAUGACUACAGUAAUUCUUGUUUGGAUUAGGAGUAAGAACACUUCCUAAAUUAUAAUUUAUCACCUGUCCGCUGCAUUUUUACUGCUCUUUUAUUCAUUGAAAGUAGAAACCCGUUUAUCUACGUCAUAAAGGGUUCACCACAUGUCCACGCGCUUUGCUUGGAUGGCCGGCCGGCGGAAGGAAGGGAGCAAACCCUAAAGCAAUAUCCGGGACACACAUACACAUACACGCAUAACAGAGGAAACAUGUGACUCGCUCUCCUUUUUGAUUUCCUUUUACCAUUCGGGAGAAACAAGGGACUCUGGGCAAGGACAGGGACAGAGACAGCACCACGUGGUAAACGUAGGAUGUGUUGGAGAGGGGACCAGUGAGUUGGCUGUCUUAUUCAGUAAACACAAGACUGGUGCACUGAUGCAGGUUAAAGGUCAGAUCGGCGUAAAAUGUCAUCGUAUCAUUCUUCAGUUGUCAUUCAGGUCUUCCGGACGGGACUCAUCUCAGCGUUGAACGUUUGUCGUAAGACUUAUAUCCGGGUUUUUGGGAAUCUGUCCAUACAAAUGAUAUGUAAAACUAUUUGUGCCGAACGAUGUAUCUUUUAAUCCUUAAACAUUAUAAUGUGUGUGCGUGUGUGUGUUUCUGUGUUUGUGUCAUAUGUACGUUUAUGUGUGUUUGUGUGCGCGCUGAUAUGUGUGAGUCAGGUCGGAAGAUGUGGGAGGUUAAAAGAAUGUGUUGAAGAAGUUGUCAUGUAAAUGGACGAUGAAUAAGUGAACUGUCUUGUUUACAUGUGUACGAAUAGAUGGCGCUUAAGUUUAGAUCAAAGCACGGCUGAACUGCUUCAAACAUUCGGCAAUCUUCUAGUUUGUGAACUAAGAUUAAUGUUUGUUCCGUAUAAGAAUGAUAAAACUUCCUAGUUUAUGAUUUAGCGGGACAUGUAUUGCAUUCUAGUUGCUUUUCAAUUAACUGGUGAUAGACACAAUUUAAUUUACUUCCUGAGCUCAUGGCUCCUACUUCUGACUCUCAUUACCUCAACAAGUUUCAAGUUUCAUCCCGACACAGGAAUUUUCUCUCUUUUUCGUCCUGCUGUGUCAUAUCAUGGCAUUUCCACACAGUUUGACCCCCAUACCCCACCUCUAUUUCCCGUUUUCGUGUUUUACACAGUCACAAAUACUGACAAUCAGAAGGAAAACUUGUUUUGCUAGGUCAGAGAUAAGGCAAAAUAUUUUUGUAUGAGAAAUAUGAAACCGUGGUUUUGAAUGUCGGGUGAUUUUUCAAUGUUUCUAAUACCUGAUCUGUUUAGUUUGCUAUAAUUUCAGAAACAAAAUUGUAGUUCUCUUUGUAAUCUAUAAAAAAGAACGACAGUGCCGGCAGACGAAAGGCGUUUUUAUCGGUCACCAGAUAAAAUAAAAUCACUGAAGCAUGUCCCGCUUGGAAUUCUAGUUAACUCGUAAACCAUUUGGAUGUUGCUUUUAACUCAUUCACUACCAAAAUCGUUGGGCUUCACUUUUUUGUGGUCAUAGUGUCUGUACGGGCUGUGUGUUUUAUUCAGUUGAACUAGACUCGUCCAUGAAAGUAGAAGUGUACAAGUGGCUGACAAAUUGCAAAAGGUCAUUUGUAGCAGGGGGUCAAAGAGGACAGGUUUAAGUUUUGUAUUCCUUGGCUGUCUUGAGCUGCACGGCAAAUAUGAGAGCAGCACUAUGUUCACAAACUGUUCUGCUUGAGUAAACAAGGAAGCUAAACAACAAAGCAGAACGCUGAACAAGGCUGAAAGAAAAAACGGAGGAAAAUCCCUGGAGAAGAUCGUUUUUCCCUUCCUGUGUGAAGCAGCUUAGCUCUCCACUGACUUUAUUCACUAGACGGAAGCUGAUUGCUUUGACUCACCUGACCCAACGGUCGUGAAAGCGAUAGUGUGACAGGUAUUAGUUGCAGCAGUGUCAUUGGGUUAUCAUGUUAUCAUUAUCGUGAGCUUGUGCGCGAUGGCUUUCAGAAAAAAACCAACUCAACAAUAGUUUUUGCAGCUAAGUGCCGAGGCGUUUUACUGACGGUAUCCACAGGCUUAAGCAAAACAUUUGCAUUGAUAAAUAAAUGAUAAGAGAAGAAUUAAUACAAAAUGUUCAACGGAAACAUAUAUCUGAGUAGACACAAUUAAGUAAAUUAUGCAUUUAAGGAAUUGAAAACGGAUAUCACAUACAACUGCAACUUGUUUUCUUUGCAACAAAGUUUUAAAAUAUGCAUCAAUGAUAACUAAUGGUGCAUCUUUAGCCUGUUUGUGUUAAAAAAAUAUACAUAAUUUAGCAUGAAAAUAGCAAAAUUCAUCAAAUAUAAAACGUUCAUACCCAUCAACAAUUAAAACACCAAAAGUGGAAAUCAGAAACAUGCAAUAAUUGAAAGCAGGACUAUAAAAUAUGCAAAUAAAGUUUACGGUAGUGCGGGGUUGGACAGGGCACGAGACACACACACACGGAGGCUGCAACAAUAGUCAAGGUUGUAGUUGUCCGGCGACCCUGCCCUGUGACCUGUGCCCCUGAAGAGAUGGAGACGCGUGGGGGCCGCAUGGUAACAGUGGAAGGUAGUCAUGGUACCUUCGAGAGGAUUCGGCGGUAGGAGUAAUAAGAGGAGGGAGAGGGUAGUGUAGUGUAUAAACACUCGCUUGUCACUACUGCAGUGAGAAACUCAGGGUUCAGAUCUCGUCUCGGGACACUCUGUAUCAUUGUAUGUGACACCUCUCUGCUUGGCUGGGCUAUUCCUCUGGGGGUACUUCGGAAUCCUUUCUAUCCCUCCCCCCCCCAACAUACUGUGAAAUCACUCCAAGGUGGAAGCACUUUCCUAGUAAAUAAACCAACCAACCAAAGGAUAGAGGUGAAACAGAGAGUUUAGAGGUGGAAGCUGUACACCAUGAAGGAGAUAACGGAUUGUGCGUGUUUCACACAUCAACCGGCGCAAGAUUACAAGAUCUGUCUGUACCCACGACUGUGUUGAGUGUUCAGGUGAGGAAUGCAAGACUGGUAAGCACUCCUCCUCUCCCAUCUCCCCUGUUACAGUUUGACAUCAUUUACAAAACUCAAAUUCUGCGAGACGGAAUAAACAUUAACUUAAAAUUAAAACAUUUCUGCCAAAUGCAGAUAAUCAUAUUUGUGUGGUAUCUCACUUCAAGCUAGUGUCAUUUUAAUAAAUAUUUUCAACCGAGUUUGUUAGUCGUAUUUUACUCUUGCAAAGGCAAGAAAUAGAUGAGAUAAUGAGAAAUAGUUUUAUUAUCAAAAGCAAAAAAAGUUGAGCUUAUUUGGAACUAGAACUUGCAAUCAUAAAGGCACACAUGUCGGGAGUGCUGGCAAAUAUCGCGAGCUGAUAUCGAA
rnacentral:lncRNA from 1 species